GCCGGGGUGUCCUAGCCUGGCAGGGAGACGGAUUGCUAAUCCGUUGUGUGUAUGCACUCGCGGGUUCAAAUCCCGUCCCCGGCACCA
rnacentral:tRNA from 2 species